GAUGAAGAACGUAGCGAAAUGCGAUACUUGGUGUGAAUUGCAGAAUCCCGUGAACCAUCGAGUCUUUGAACGCAAGUUGCGCCCGAAGCCACUAGGCCGAGGGCACGCCUGCCUGGGCGUCACACGCCGUUGCCCCCCCAUCUACUCCUUCGGGAUUGCGGGGGGGCGGAUGAUGGCCUCCCGUGCGCCUAGCCGCGCGGUUGGCAUAAAUACCAAGUCCUCGGCGACGCACGCCACGACAAUCGGUGGUUGCGAAACCUCGGUUGCCCGUCGUGUGCGUUCGUCGCGCAUCGAGGGCUCGAAAAAAUGCUCGGCUCCGGCUGGGCUUUCAACGCGACCCCAGGUCAGGCGGGGUUACCCGCUGAAUUUAAGCAUAUCAAUAAGCGAG
rnacentral:misc_RNA from 1 species